GUCAGGCUACAAACUUUUCCUGUAUGGUGGUAGGGAAACAUCGCCAUUAGUUUCAAUGAUUUACCAGCUAGAAGGACUUCACAGAAUUUUGCCAACAUCAUUGAUGAAGAUAUAAUUUUUCUUAUUCGUUUUUAGACAAGAAAGAACCAUAGAGAAUCUAAACCCUUGUACUAUAAUAGUACCCGCAGUACAACAAACCCCUAUCUCUAACAGAAGAUGAAAAUGAAUAGUUUUUUUUGUUGUAGGUUACCAAGAACAAGUGCAUCAUCAAACUAGAUGUUGUAUAUUAUCCGUCCAUAAUCUGGUUGUGUAUCUUGCAAAACACAAGUGUGUGCAUGAUUGUAGGGGCAGAGCAUAGUUUGAAUUUUAAAGCCAUUUAUAUUGUCCUGCAAAACUAUAAUUUUGAAGAAAGGUACAUUAAGUUAUGUCAUGCACAUGGAGAGUGUUGCAAUCUAUAAUGCCUUACAAGUCUCAGCUCCAUCAGGGCAGUUUUAUUAGUGUGUCACAAGCCUGCUAUUUCUAAUUUACAAAUUGUGUACUCCCUCUGUCCGGAAUUGCAUGUCAUAGAAAUGGAUGUAUCAGGAGUAGUUAUUUUAGUGUUUUACAUAAUGCAUAGAUUUUUCAGAACAGAAAGAAGUGAAUAUAUAAACUUAUUUUGCUUUCUUAUUUAGUUCCAGUUGACUUUAUAAAUCCCAAUUUCUCCAGUAUUGUAACUUUGUCAAAUAAUCAACUUAAACGGAUCUUUCUCCUUGGACAUCUUUCAAUUUGUAAUAUUAUGAUUUUCUUUCCCAGAAACCAUUUAAACUAGCCUGGGGCUAUGUCUAUUAGUCCGUAAGUAUUUGUUGGAAUGAGAGAACACAUUGUAUGCAAGGUAACAAGCAACUAAAGCAAGUAGAGUUUUGCAAUUUCUUGGCAAGAUUGAGCCCCUGAACCCAGGAUGCAUGAUGAAGGAUCCAAUAUUUUAGGACUGACAUGCUUCUUAUUUAGUUUUUUUAGCUGCUGGCCUACUUCAAGUGUCUACAGUUUACAGGAUACAUGUUUCUUCAAGGGUCUACAUGCUAUAGGAAGUAAGUUUCUUAUAGUAGUCAAACCUAGAUUACCAAUUUAUUGGAGCUAUUAUAUUUUAACCUGGAUAUCAAUUUAUUGGAUCAAUUGAGAGGUGACACUCUUGGAGAGUCAAGUAAUGUAAUAUAUUCUUUCUCUCUCUCUCUCUCCCUCUCCCUCUCUCAAUACUUGGGGUCUUUACUUUGCCACUCAAAUUGCAGUACUCAACUGUAGCCAGGAUGCAGGGGGAAAGUGUGCUCAAUCUUAUAACAUGGAUACUGUACAUGUACGAGCUACAGGCCACUGUUGUUUAUCAUAUGAACUGUAGAUGUAGUGAUUCUGAAGUUUGUACCAUGUCCUAAAUUUCUUUAUUUUAGCAGUGGUGAUAAUAUUAAUACAUUGUGUUAUCUAAAAAUGUUGUCCUGACCUUAGAUCGGGAAAAUAGAAUAAAAAGGUCAAUUAGAGAGUUGUUAGAAUUGUGGAUUGAAUGUCAGUAAUUUUUGUUUCUUUUUUGCAAUUGAAUGUUAGUGAUGUUAUAUCUAUCUGGGAGCUUGGUGAAAGAUUACAUGCAAAGUAUACAAGUGAAAAACAUAAUUCAUUUAGAUGAGCUAUUACUAGAGUAGAUAUACUUUUUUUUGGCUGAAGUAGUGAAGUUAACACAGCCAAAAAUAUUUCUGGCCUCGGCAACUCCAGGGCAAGAAACAUGGAUGUAAGCCUAUUCAGAAGCGUUGAAGUUCCAGCUUCCUUGGAGUAGCUGCACCAUUUACGGCGCGUUGGUC
rnacentral:lncRNA from 1 species